rnacentral:lncRNA from 1 species
CUAACACCUCCCUCUCUUCUUCCUCUUGGUUCCAAUGCUCAAAGGGUGUUGGGCGUACGUCCAUCAUCUCCACACCUAAGAAAACUUAGGCGGCACCUCUUGGCUGCUAAUUUUCAGAGCUUGAUUGCUUUAAAAUCAAGAAAGAAAGAUCAAAAAAGAGGAGAAGAAAAGAUUAAGGAAAGGAUCAAAAAGUUGAUCGCGAUUCAGGCUUCGUUCAGAUUCGUAGGAUGAUCGUUCUUGAAGAAGAAAACUCAACACCAUGGAUGGUUGUUUCAGACUGAUCCUGAGUGGAUACCCAUGG